rnacentral:rRNA from 1 species
CCUGCUGUAGCGCCACUGACGCUGAUGCUCGAAAGCGUGGGUAUCGAACAGGAUUAGAUACCCUGGUAGUCCACGCGGUAAACGAUGGAUGCUCGCUGUGUGCCUUUGAGGUACGUGGCCAAGGGAAACCAUUAAGCAUCCCACCUGGGGAGUACGCCGGCAACGGUGAAACUCAAAGGAAUUGACGGGGGCCCGCACAAGCGGAGGAACAUGUGGUUUAAUUCGAUGAUACGCGAGGAACCUUACCCGGGCUUGAACUGCCAGCGGACGAUUCAGAGAUGAUGAGGCCCUUCGGGGCGCUGGUGGAGGUGCUGCAUGGUUGUCGUCAGCUCGUGCCGUGAGGUGUCGGCUUAAGUGCCAUAACGAGCGCAACCCCUUUCGUCAGUUGCCAUCAGGUAAAGCUGGGCACUCUGGCGACACUGCCACCGUAAGGUGUGAGGAAGGUGGGGAUGACGUCAAAUCAGCACGGCCCUUACGUCCGGGGCUACACACGUGUUACAAUGGCGCAUACAGAGAGUCGGUCCUGCGCAAGCAGGGUCUAAUCAUGAAAGUGCGUCGUAGUUCGGACUGGGGUCUGCAACCCGACCCCACGAAGCUGGAU